rnacentral:miRNA from 1 species
UCCCUUCCGGUCGAUGAGGGUGUUUUACCUCAUCGACGGAAGGAAUCCCUUCCGUUGAUGAGGGUGCUUUACCUCAUCGACGGAAGGAAUCCCUUCCGUCAAUGAGGGUGUUAUACCUCAUCGACGGAAGGAA